UCGAAUCUUUCUUCUUUGAUGAGCUGUAGGUAGGUUUUUAGUGACACCCCAAGUUUGUGGUGGUCCGUGUGCGUUACAGGUCGUUACCUCAAAUACCGGCCACCCCAAGUCUGGAAUUCUCUUCUUUCAUCUCCCUCCACAGUGAAAUAGGACUAUAGGAGGUCCAAGUGUAAACAGCUCCUAUGGCUCGUUCAUUGCCGGCGCCUACCUACGCUGAGCUACUGCGUGGUGAAUCCAGUGUCUGCUUCGCAGAGAUCUUAUUGUCUCUCAGUCAUCCAGCUCCAAACAACAUGUGGCAUCCGUUACAAAUGUGGACUAGUAGUAGCUCUACUCCAAGUGCCCCCAUGUUACUUGAGUAUGUCAUGCAUCUACCACUGCGGUCCAAGAGCAAAAAGGCCAAGAAUGUUCCAACGAUUGCAAAGGAGGAAGGCAACAAGAAGCUCGGCAAUUAGGUAACUUGGCCAACUGAUAGCCAGUCAAAUCUGUGGAGUUGAGACAGAUGGUUCUUGGCCAACCCCUCUUCCAUGUGGAGAUCCACUUAGUACUGCAUCGUUUACUCUUAAUCGAGCAUGGCAUUUUCACUUGGUAUAUAUGUUCAACUAUCUCCUCAUACUCAUGCCUGUAGAGUGAACUGAUGAGUAGCCAAGCAAUAAUCCCUCCCACUGCAGAGUUGAGUCAAGAGUAGAUUUGAAUAAUGAAUUGCAUAUGUACUGUCCGAUCUUA